ensembl:lncRNA
GGGUAAAGUCUAGCAAUGCAAAACACUUAUUGUCAGAUAUCUAUGAAACACCUAUGAAAAUGAGGUCAUGGUCCUGUGACCUGAAACUAAUUUAGAGAUACAUCUCAAUGUGACAAAAAGCAGGUGUUUAGGGGGCAUGAAAGGCACCUUGUGAUCAUGCCCCGGCAGGGCCCUAGGACAUUAAGGCAUAGGAAAAAAUGCAGUCACUAUAAAAGAAAUUACUUACCAGGCUCAGUCAACAAAACAAAAAUGACGUUACCACAAAAGCAACCACAGAAAAAAAAGGAAAUAAAAUAUUACACAACAAUAAGUCAACCAAACAACAAGAGUUAUAUAUUAUUAUUAUUAUUAUUAUUAUAUAUGUAGUAGGGUGGCCCUUUAAGUACAUUGCGUGUGUUGUGUGGUAAUCAUGUUACAUACCUAUAUAGGAGCAGGUGAGGUGUCAGUACUCGAUUAGCAUUGUAUUGCUCUGACCUGUUUGUGUGACGCUUAUAUCUGAACUCCUCUGAUUAAUUGGGUGCAUCCAGGCCAUGUCUGCUGGCGUGUAUGUGUAGCGCUCCUGAUAGAAAUGGUGUAAACACUGAGCUUGCAAAAGAAGAGUUUUUAGGCUUGAAGCUGUUAAUUGCCAGGAUGUUCAAAGACAAGACCUGCCUCAGCCUUCGGGAGCUCAUGUUGACCAGAGAGGCCUACUGCUCAGAGUACAAGAACAUCCUGCACCUUGUACACAUUAUGUUGGUCCUCCCUGUCUCAGCUGCAGUUUGUGAGAGAGGGUUUUCUGCACAGAAGAGGAUCAAAUCAGACAUUAGAGCAUCCCUUCAUUUAAACACAGUUGAAGAUCUUAUAAGAAUCAGUGUAGAGGGGCCAAGUCUGGAAGAUUUUGAUGCUAGAGAGAGUGUGGCCAGCUGGUUUAGCCAAGGCCAAAGAUCAAGAAGGCCAAACUACAGGAGUUGGCCAUCCGAGGGGCAAUGGAGUAUAGUCCAUAAGACAUUGAGCCAUGAGAUGUUCAGUUUGAAGCCCUUGAAACACUUAAUUAAAAUUUUCUUUUUAUUUAAUUUAUCUUGAGAUGUUUUAAAUUUAAAUUUCAGCUCAGUGAAGCACUUCAAGCACCAACACUUUUUUUUAGUUAUCUUUCUUUUAGAAUUGUGCCUCAAAUAAAGAACUUUAUGUUGACCA